UGUGAAGCGGAGCAAAUCUCAAAAACCGGUCCCAGUUCGGAUUGUAGGCUGCAACUCGCCUACAUGAAGUCGGAGUUGCUAGUAAUCGCGGAUCAGAAUGCCGCGGUGAAUGCCGUUCCCGGGUCUUGUACACACCGCCCGUCACACCAUGGAAGUUGGGGGCGCCCGAAGUUGCCUAAGAAAUAAGGUACCUAAGGCGAAACCAAUGACUGGGGUGAAGUCGUAACAAGGUAUC
rnacentral:rRNA from 1 species